GAUUGCAGGCUGCAACCCGCCUGUAUGAAGUUGGAAUCGCUAGUAAUCGCGGAUCAGCAUGCCGCGGUGAAUACGUUCCCGGGCCUUGUACACACCGCCCGUCACACCAUGAGAGUCGGGAACACCCGAAGUCCGUAGCCUAACCGCAAGGAGGGCGCGGCCGAAGGUGGGUUCGAUAAUUGGGGUGAAGUCGUAACAAGGUAUC
rnacentral:rRNA from 1 species